UUUUUAUCUAUCGACUCGGUG
rnacentral:piRNA from 1 species